AUGGUAGGAUAGAGGCCUACCAUGGUUUUAACGGGUAACGGGGAAUUAGGGUUCGAUUCCGGAGAGGGAGCCUGAGAAACGGCUACCACAUCCAAGGAAGGCAGCAGGCGCGCAAAUUACCCAAUCCCGACACGGGGAGGUAGUGACAAUAAAUAACAAUAUGGGGCUCUUACGAGUCUUGUAAUUGGAAUGAGUACAAUUUAAAUCUCUUAACGAGGAACAAUUGGAGGGCAAGUCUGGUGCCAGCAGCCGCGGUAAUUCCAGCUCCAAUAGCGUAUAUUAAAGUUGUUGCAGUUAAAAAGCUCGUAGUUGAAUUUCGGGAUUUAUCUGUCGGUCGGGCUUUUGGGUCUGUACUGGCGUGAUGGAUUUCUACCUUCUGAAUAACCGGCAUGUCAUUAAUUUGGUGCGCCGGGGAAGCAGGACUGUUACCUUGAAAAAAUUAGAGUGCUUAAAGCAGGCUUAUGCCUGAAUACAUUAGCAUGGAAUAAUGAAAUAGGACGGCAUGGUUCUAUUUUGUUGGUUUCUAGGAUCACCGUAAUGAUUAAUAGGGAUAGUUGGGGGCAUUAGUAUUCAAUUGUCAGAGGUGAAAUUCUUGGAUUUAUUGAAGACUAACUUCUGCGAAAGCAUUUGCCAAGGAUGUUUUCAUUAAUCAAGAACGAAAGUUAGGGGAUCGAAGACGAUCAGAUACCGUCGUAGUCUUAACCAUAAACUAUGCCGACUAGGGAUCGGACGAUGUUAAUUUUUUAAUGACUCGUUCGGCGCCUUACGGGAAACCAAAGUGUUUGGG
rnacentral:rRNA from 1 species